rfam:Medicago truncatula strain A17 chromosome 1, whole genome shotgun sequence.
UUAUAAGCAAAAAUCCAUUUUUUAGAUUCAUUCAUUAAAUGUUGUAUGUGGUCUAUAUUUAGGUUACAUACAACAUUUAAUGAAUGAAACUAAAAUAUGGUUUUUUGCUUAUAA